rnacentral:rRNA from 1 species
UACGUAGGGUGCAAGCGUUGUCCGGAAUUAUUGGGCGUAAAGAGCUCGUAGGCGGUCUGUCGCGUCGGCUGUGAAAACCCGGGGCUCAACCCCGGGCCUGCAGUGGGUACGGGCAGGCUAGAGUGUGGUAGGGGAGACUGGAAUUCCUGGUGUAGCGGUGAAAUGCGCAGAUAUCAGGAGGAACACCGAUGGCGAAGGCAGGUCUCUGGGCCACUACUGACGCUGAGAAGCGAAAGCAUGGGGAGCGAACAGG